rnacentral:rRNA from 1 species
AGUGAAUAGAUACCCGGGUAGUCCACGCUGUAAACGAUGGAUACUAGAUGUCGGGAGUUCUUACCCUCUCGGUGUCGCAGCCAACGCAUUAAGUAUCCCGCCUGGGAAGUACGGCCGCAAGGUUAAAACUCAAAGAAAUUGACGGGGGCCCGCACAAGCGGUGGAGUAUGUGGUUUAAUUCGAUGCAACGCGAAAAACCUUACCUGGGCUUGACAUCCGACGCUACCUGGCGAAAGUCAGGGUUCCCGCAAGGGACGUCGAGACAGGUGCUGCAUGGCUGUCGUCAGCUCGUGUCGUGAGAUGUUGGGUUAAGUCCCGCAACGAGCGCAACCCUUGCCGUUAGUUGCCAGCAUUAAGUUGGGCACUCUAACGGGACCGCUUGCCGAUAAGGCAGAGGAAGGUGGGGAUGACGUCAAGUCCGCAUGGCCCUUACGCCCAGGGCUACACACGUACUACAAUGGUAAUUACAGACCGAAGCUAGACCGCGAGGUGGAGCUAAUCGGAGAAAAGUUAUCACAGUUCGGAUUGGAGUCUGCAACUCGACUCC